UACGAAGGGGGCUAGCGUUGCUCGGAAUCACUGGGCGUAAAGGGUGCGUAGGCGGGUCUUUAAGUCAGGGGUGAAAUCCUGGAGCUCAACUCCAGAACUGCCUUUGAUACUGAAGAUCUUGAGUUCGGGAGAGGUGAGUGGAACUGCGAGUGUAGAGGUGAAAUUCGUAGAUAUUCGCAAGAACACCAGUGGCGAAGGCGGCUCACUGGCCCGAUACUGACGCUGAGGCGCGAAAGCGUGGGGAGCAACGGGA
rnacentral:rRNA from 1 species